rnacentral:rRNA from 1 species
AUACGUAGGUGGCAAGCGUUGUCCGGAUUUAUUGGGCGUAAAGCGAGCGCAGGCGGUUUCUUAAGUCUGAUGUGAAAGCCCCCGGCUCAACCGGGGAGGGUCAUUGGAAACUGGGAGACUUGAGUGCAGAAGAGGAGAGUGGAAUUCCAUGUGUAGCGGUGAAAUGCGUAGAUAUAUGGAGGAACACCAGUGGCGAAGGCGACUUACUGGACGAUAACUGACGCUGAGGCUCGAAAGCGUGGGGAGCAAACAGGAUUAGAUACCCUGGUAGUCCACGCCGUAAACGAUGAGUGCUAAGUGUUGGAGGGUUUCCGCCCUUCAGUGCUGCAGCAAACGCAUUAAGCACUCCGCCUGGGGAGUACGACCGCAAGGUUGAA